GUUGCCAGCAGUUCGGCUGGGCACUCUAAAGGGAACGUGCCGGUGGUUAAACCGGAAGGAAGGUGGGGAGUGACGUCAAGUCCUCAUGGCCUUUAUGACCAGGGCUACACACGUACUACAAUGGCCGAUACAAAGGGACAGCGACACUGCGAGGUGAAGCCAAUCCCGUAAAAUACGGUCUCAGUCCGGAUUGGAGUCUGCAACUCGACUCCAUGAAGUUGGAAUCGCUAGUAAUCGUGGAUCAGCAUGCCACGGUGAAUACGUUCCCGGGCCUU
rnacentral:rRNA from 1 species